GACGAACGCUGGCGGCGUGCUUAACACAUGCAAGUCGAACGGAAAGGCCCUGCUUUUGUGGUGUGCCCGAGUGCCGAUCGGGUGAGUAACAGGUGUGUAUCCUGACCUUGACUUUCGGGUAACUUCAGGAAACUGGGGCUACUCUAGGAUAGGAGCUGCUGUUGCAUGGUGGGGGUUGGAUAGUUUCGGCGGUUGGGGAUGGACUGGCGGCUUACCAGCUUGUUGGUUGGGUAGUGGCUUACCAACGCUGUGACGGAUAAGCGGCCUGGGAGGGGGGCCGGCGACAAGGGGACUAAGAGACGCCGCAGUCUCCAACGGUAGGCAGCAGUGGGGAAUAUUGCACAAUGAGCGGAAGCCGGAUGCAGCAACGCCGCGGGCGUAAAGACGGCCUUCUGGGUGUGAACCGCUGUCGCCUGUGACGAAGCGUGAGUGACGGUAAUGAAUAAAGAAGCACCGGCUAACUACGUG
rnacentral:rRNA from 1 species